GCUGAUUGGUGGACCGCCAGCCUGGGCCCUGCAGGACCGCUGGGACCACGGGACGCAGGGGUGGGCGUAGGGCGAGGAAGAAUGUCAGGUCAUCUCAAGUCCUGGAGGGUUGGGGCUGGCUGUCACUGCGCCUCCGCCUCCCACAUCCACCCUGCGGCGCAGUUCCCAGCGCAGUUCUCAGCGCAGUUCACAGCUGCAUUCACAGCUACGCGCGUGCACACAUGCUCACACCCGCCCCAGCACUUCUGGACCACACACGGGGAACGUGGCUGGAGGGGAGUCCAGGAAGCAGAGCAGAAACCCCGCCCCCUGCACCUCAGAACGGCCAGAAGACGGACUUUAGGAGGUAAUGAAGGCCACGGGAGGCCACGGGAGGCCACGGAGGCCACGCGCUGUAACCAGCAAGACUGACGGCUUUCUGAGACACAGAGACCAGGCGUGUGAGGACACGGAGAAGAAGCCACCCGGCAGCAAGGAGAACCUGGGAGGAGCUGGCCUCCACCUGGGCCUUCUGGCCUCUGUGAGGGGGUGACCCCUGAGGUCUGAGCGCCCAGCCUGUGGCAUCUGGUCAUGACAGCCCUAGCCAACGUGCCUGUAAAUCCAACCAGGUGGGAAACGGGAGGCCCACGUGGGGACCCGCUGCCUGUCCCAGCUGGGCCAGUAGAGAGGAGGGGGUUGUAACUGAGGUUGGCAGAGCAGCGUGCAGUGGCCAGGUAUGGGGCUGGCUUGGACACGUGCCCUUUAGGAGGCCCUUGGAGUCUCAGUACCUUCCCCUGAGUGAUGCCAACAAUGUCCAUCUCCAAAUCAGUGGUUUUGAGAAUUAUCAUCCAAGAAUAGGGUCCGACACAACACAGGUCCUGAGGGUCAUUCCUGGGGUCUGCUUGGGGCCAACGGAGGCUCAGAAGAAGGUUCCAGCACCAAAGCGCUGUGGGGGGGUGGCCCGAGAGGACCUGUCCACACUGCAAAGGCGCCACCGGGUGGAGGCUCACGGAACGGGCGCGCGAGCCCGCGGGUCCUGAGCUUCAGGAAGGCGCCCCUUACAGGGUGAGGUCGGGACUGGGAAGCCACGGAAAUGUCGGGCGCCAACCCAGCUGCUGCGCAUCCACCAGCCUGGUCUGCUGGUGACCCGGACCCACCCACUGCUGCAGACCAGCCCCCAGGAAGCAAAGAGUACCCAGUGCACACUAGUCCGGUUCACAAAGCCCCCACUGUGUGCCUGGACCUGGGCACGUGGCCUCCUUCCCUUCCACGACCUGACGUGGACAGUGUAUCCAGAACUUAUUCCAUUUAGAAUGUUUAUUAAUUUGCAAAAAUAUUUCUUGGCUGCCGGGUUCUCCCGGUUGCCAACUCCCAGUGGUCCUUCGGUCAGGGGUACAGAGGAGCCGGGUUCUCCGCUAGAACCUCCAAACGCGCUCUCAACAUAAACGGGAGGCGCUGAGCACCGGGUACUGAUGUGAGUUUGCUGGGAGGAACCACGUUUCGUUAUGUUUAAAAAUCAAAGCUUCAUCUGCUCGCGAACCUGGUGAAAUAUUUACAGGUGAAAUGAUCCAGCCGCCGCGGAGGGCCACUGAACGUCAGCAGGGCACGGUCGAUGCGAUGCCGGGAGGCGCCGCGGUGUUGAAUUGUCUGUAACGAAUACGGAGAAGAAAACAGGAUCCCGGAGUGGGACCUGCUCUCCACCCAGUGCCUGGAAAUUUGGGGUGAUUUUGUGCUGAUUGGUGGACCGCCAGCCUGGGCCCUGCACGACCACUGGAACCACUGGGACCUCCUCUAUCGGGAAGGUCGUCCUCUUGGAUGGAGCACGCAGCUUCGGGAGGGCCACACUUGGAGCGGUGAGGGAGCAAAGGGACCCCCACCUAGCCAGCCAGGUCAGCCGAAUCAGCCCUGGCGAUGGACCCUGUCACAUUGUGAGCGGCAUUAGGAGACACAGGACACGGUCUCAGGUGACAGGCGCCACGCCAGAUCCCCCUCUCAUCCUCCAUUUAUUUUGAUGGUUAAAAAAAAAAAAAAAUCUUUUGGCUGGGGAGUAACUCAGCGGUGAAGCUGGUGAAGCCGGUAAAGCUAGUUUUCCAAAUGCCCGAAGUCUGGGUUCCCUCCCCAGCACCAGCGAUAAUUAAAAACACUUACAUUUUCACAGCUGAUUUGCUGAGCUAGACACCCAAGGCGGCGCCUUCGUGGCUUCGUUGCGGUGUCCCUUAGAUGUCACGCUUUCCAACCCCUCUGUGGGGACACGGAGGCCAAGCUUGGGCGGGCAGGACCGAGGCACCCAGACCAGGGGCUGCAGGACCAGGGGAGGGGGAGCCACAUUCUCCCUUCAGCCAGCGAUGACAGAAGUUUUUUAGUUGUAGUUGGACACAAAAUCUUUAUUUUUACGUGGUGCUGAGGAUCGAACCCAGGGCCUCCUGCGUGCUAGCAAGCGCUCCACCUCUGAACCACGACCCCAGCCCCCAGGAAGAAUAUCAUUUUUUUAAAAAAAGAAAGAAAAGAAAUCCGUGUGUCCAUGGUGGUACACAUCUGUAAUCCCAGCGCCUCGGGAGGCUGGCGCGUGAGGACCAGGGGUUGAAA